CCGGCGCACGGGUGAGUAACACGUAUCCAACCUGCCGUCUACUCUUGGACAGCCUUCUGAAAGGAAGAUUAAUACAAGAUGGCAUCAUGAGUCCGCAUGUUCACAUGAUUAAAGGUAUUCCGGUAGACGAUGGGGAUGCGUUCCAUUAGAUAGUAGGCGGGGUAACGGCCCACCUAGUCUUCGAUGGAUAGGGGUUCUGAGAGGAGGGUCCCCCACAUUGGAACUGAGACACGGUCCAAACUCCUACGGAGGCAGCAUG
rnacentral:rRNA from 1 species